rnacentral:antisense_RNA from 1 species
CAGUUUUCACAGGCCUGUGUGCCGAGAGUGUUCCUUACCAUUGUUUCAUUAUUAUUCAGCUAGGGAGGAUUUUUAGACAUUAUGUUCCUAGUCAAGCCCUCAACUCUGCAAUGAAAUUAUAAUACCACUGUUGACCCAAAGCUGAGCAGCAAGCACUAGAACUGAGGGAAAUCAUGGUGAGAUUUAUUCUGAGCCAAGCUGGAGGACUUAGGCCCAGGAACACAGAAUCUGUGUCCACUGAGAGUGUAUCUCAAAGCAGGCUCCAUGAGGCAUCGUGCACUUACAUUUUCUAACAGGCGGACGUAUGUGGCCCAGAAGGUGGGAGAGGCAAGCGGUGACCAGCCGUGAUGUUCCUGAGAUUCUGAUGAGCGCUCGGUGGCACUGCCCACACGAUAAGGGAGACAUGAGACAUCAGUCAACACAUGUAGGAUGAACAUUGGUUCGGUCUGGAAAGGCGGGACAACUCGAAGCAAAGGCAGGAAGACUCGAAGCAGACGGGGGCUUCCAGGUCAUAG